GACGUAGGGCGCGAGCGUUGUCCGGAUUUAUUGGGCGUAAAGAGCUCGUAGGCGGCUUGUCGCGUCGAAUGUGAAAUCUCAGGGCUCAACUCUGACAUUGCAUUCGAUACGGGCAGGCUAGAGUUCGGUAGGGGAGACUGGAAUUCCUGGUGUAGCGGUGAAAUGCGCAGAUAUCAGGAGGAACACCGGUGGCGAAGGCGGAUCUCUGGGCCAUUACUGACGCUGAGGAGCGAAAGCGUGGGGAGCGAACAGG
rnacentral:rRNA from 1 species